UUUAUAUGUUUUUUCCACAAUCUGGGACUGUCUGACACUAAGCCAAGACAACGAAGAAUGGCCUGCUACAGUGCUGCUCCUUUUUCGUGUUAUUAGCUUCAACUCAAGUUGAGGUGUGGUCCUGAAUAUACUUCAACUCAGAUGAACCGUAGAAUGGCGGGUGAAUUACUGAAGUAUUUCCUGCUGCUUGAUUUGGUGAGAUUUAGUCAAGCAAGCAUUACAGCAGUGUGUGCUACAAGUGACAGUUACUGGGAAGUGCAAGGGAAUAAACAGGAUAACACCUUCACCUGCACGGGCCUGUCAGCACAGGACACCGCCCUGUGGGACCACUGGGUGCCUGCUACAGGAGCUACCACCAGUCUUGGUGAAUGCAAGCCUCGUCUCUCAGGUGGAAGUCAGUAUGUUUGUGGACAACCACUCAGCCCAAUUUUUCUACCGACCAGAACUUCUGAUGACACAAGUGUGAUGGUCGUUAAUGCUUUAAAUGUUACAAAUACUAGAUUAUUUGACAAUGGGCAACUGCGCUGUGCUGCUGCUUAUGGAACAACACCGAAUGGAUCAACGGGCUGCCGCCUGGAUU